rnacentral:rRNA from 1 species
CGACCGGCGCACGGGUGAGUAACACGUAUGCAACCUGCCUCGUACAGGGGGAUAACCCGGAGAAAUUCGGACUAAUAUCCCAUAAUGAUAUUGAAAGGCAUCUUUUGAUAUUUAAAGCUCAGGCGGUACGGGAUGGGCAUGCGGGACAUUAGCUAGUUGGCAGGGUAACGGCCUACCAAGGCUGCGAUGUUUAGGGGACCUGAGAGGGUUAUCCCCCACACUGGUACUGAGACACGGACCAGACUCCUACGGGAGGCAGCAGUGAGGAAUAUUGGUCAAUGGGCGCAAGCCUGAACCAGCCAUCCCGCGUGAAGGAAGAAGGCGCUAUGCGUUGUAAACUUCUUUUCCAGGGGGGGAAUUUUUCCGUCGUGACGGGAAUUGACGGUACUCUGGGAAUAAGCAUCGGCUAACUCCGUGCCAGCAGCCGCGGUAAUACGGAGGAUGCGAGCGUUAUCCGGAUUUAUUGGGUUUAAAGGGUGCGUAGGCGGAUCAAUAAGUCAGUGGUGAAAUUCUGCAGCUUAACUGUAGACUUGCCAUUGAUACUGUUGGUCUUGAGUAUGGUCAAGGUAGGCGGAAUGUGUAAUGUAGCGGUGAAAUGCUUAGAUAUUACACAGAACACCGAUUGCGAAGGCAGCUUGCUGGGCCAAUACUGACGCUGAUGCACGAAAGCGUGGGGAUCGAACAGGAUUAGAUACCCUGGUAGUCCACGCCGUAAACGAUGAUCACUCGCUGUUAGCGAUAUACAGUUAGCGGCUAAGCAAAAGCAUUAAGUGAUCCACCUGGGGAGUACGGCCGCAAGGCUGAAACUCAAAGGAAUUGACGGGGGCCCGCACAAGCGGAGGAACAUGUGGUUUAAUUCGAUGAUACGCGAGGAACCUUACCUGGGCUAA